UACAGAGGUCCCAAGCGUUGUUCGGAUUCACUGGGCGUAAAGGGUGCGUAGGUGGCGGGGUAAGUCUGAUGUGAAAGCUUCGAGCUCAACUCGAAAAUGGCAUUGGAUACUAUUCUGCUAGAGGGUUGGAGGGGGGACUGGAAUUCUCGGUGUAGCAGUGAAAUGCGUAGAUAUCGAGAGGAACACCGGUGGCGAAGGCGAGUCCCUGGACAACACCUGACACUGAGGCACGAAAGCUAGGGGAGCAAACAGG
rnacentral:rRNA from 1 species